rnacentral:rRNA from 1 species
AUGAAAAGGGCCAAACCCCUCCCACAAACCACUCAACAGAUCUCACCUAACAACACAAAACAGCAAAUCAGAAGGGGGAAGAUGGAGGCGGCCAUGGGCGAGGGGGGAGGAGAAGAAGGGAGAUCAAGCAUAAAUCAGAAGGGUUUGGGAGAAGAGGAUGUACCUGACGAGGAACAAGAAGGAAGAACAUCGGAGGGAAUUCAACAACUAUCCCAACUGCUCACCAUCUUCUCUCUUCACCUGUCACAAGAACAAAUCAGGAGGAAUUUUCUUCAUCUACAAGAGAUAGAUCAACAUCAGUUGUAUUUCUAG